UGGGGAAUUUUGGACAAUGGGGGCAACCCUGAUCCAGCAAUGCCGCGUGAGUGAAGAAGGCCUUCGGGUUGUAAAGCUCUUUUGUCAGGGAAGAAACGGUGAGGGCUAAUAUCCUUUGCUAAUGACGGUACCUGAAGAAUAAGCCCCGGCUAAUUACGUGCCAGCAGCCGCGGUAAUACGUAAGGGGCGAGCGUUGUCCGGAAUUAUUGGGCGUAAAGAGUGCGUAGGCGGCAAAUUAAGUCAGAUGUGAAAACUAAGGGCUCAACCCAUAGAUUGCAUCUGAAACUGAUAUGCUUGAGUCAAGGAGAGGAAAGUGGAAUUCCUAGUGUAGCGGUGGAAUGCGUAGAUAUUAGGAGGAAUACCGGUGGCGAAGGCGACUUUCUGGACUUGAACUGACGCUGAGGCACGAAAGCGUGGGGAGCAAACAGG
rnacentral:rRNA from 1 species